AUUGAACGCUGGCGGCAUGCUUUACACAUGCAAGUCGAACGGUAACAGGCCGCAAGGUGCUGACGAGUGGCGGACGGGUGAGUAAUGCAUCGGAACGUGCCCAGUCGUUGGGGAUAACUACUCGACAGAGUAGCUAAUACCGCAUCCGAUCUAUGGAUGAAAGCGGGGGACCGUAAGGGCUCGCGCGGUUGGAGCGGCCGAUGUCAGAUUAGGUAGUUGGUGGGGUAAGGGCUCACCAAGCCAACGAUCUGUAGCUGGUCUGAGAGGACAACCGGCCACACUGGGACUGAGACACGGCCCAGACUCCUACGGGAGGCGGCAGUGGGGAAUUUUGGACAAUGGGCGCAAGCCUGAUCCAGCAAUGCCGCGUGUAGGAAGAAGGCCUUCGGGUUGUAAACUGCUUUUGUACGGAACGAAACGGCUCUGGUUAAUACCCGGGGCUAAUGACGGUACCGUAAGAAUAAGCACCGGCUAACUACGUG
rnacentral:rRNA from 1 species